rnacentral:rRNA from 1 species
GAUGAACGCUGGCGGCGUGCUUAACACAUGCAAGUCGAACGAUGAACCGGGUGCUUGCACUCGGGGAUUAGUGGCGAACGGGUGAGUAACACGUGAGCAACCUGCCCCUGACUCUGGGAUAAGCGCUGGACACGGCGUCUAAUACUGGAUAUGUCCCGUCACCGCAGGGUGUGCGGGUGGAAGGAUGUUUCGGUUGGGGAUGGGCUCGCGGCCUAUAAGCUUGUUGGUGUGGUAAUGGCUCACCAAGGGGUCGACGGGUAGCCUGCCUGUGAGGGUGACCGGCGACACUGGGACUGAGACACGGCCCAGACUCCUACGGGAGGCAGCAGUGGGGAAUAUUGCACAAUGGGCGGAAGCCUGAUGCAGCAACGCCGCGUGAGGGAUGACGGCCUUCGGGUUGUAAGCCUCUUUUAGCAGGGAAGAAGCGAGAGUGACGGUACCUGCAGAAGAAGCACCGGCUAACUACGUGCCAGCCGCCGCCGUAA